rnacentral:rRNA from 1 species
AUUGAACGCUGGCGGCAUGCUUUACACAUGCAAGUCGAACGGCAGCACGGACUUCGGUCUGGUGGCGAGUGGCGAACGGGUGAGUAAUACAUCGGAACGUGCCCAGUUGUGGGGGAUAACUACUCGAAAGAGUAGCUAAUACCGCAUGAGAACUGAGGUUGAAAGCAGGGGAUCGCAAGACCUUGCGCAACUGGAGCGGCCUAUGACAGAUUAGGUAGUUGGUGGGAUAAAAGCUUACCAAGCCGACGAUCUGUAGCUGGUCUGAGAGGACGACCAGCAACACUGGGACUGAGACACGGCCCAGACUCCUACGGGAGGCAGCAGUGGGGAAUUUUGGACAAUGGGCGAAAGCCUGAUCCAGCAAUGCCGCGUGCAGGAUGGAGGCCUUCGGGUUGUAAACUGCUUUUGUACGGAACGAAAAGCUUCGGGCUAAUACCCUGGAGUCAUGACGGUACCGUAAGAAUAAGCACCGGCUAACUACGUGCCAGCCGCCGCAGUAAAAC